UCUCCACUCACACAAUCAGACACACACACACGGGGAGAGAGGGGAAAGGAGCCACUCGAUGAGUGGCAGCAGGUCAGGGAGAUAAAGGAUCAUGACAAUUUCUCCUUCAAUUCUGAGAAAUCAAGUUUUUUUUGUCAGUUUUGGAUAGCAGAAGGCUAUAUUACCCAUGAUCCUCAGCCACUGUUGCUAUGGAGACGGAGCCAGUCUGCUUUGCAUUACCCAUUACAAAACUGUUUGGUACCAGAAGGAACCAGAUAAACCAGGCCAGCACUGAGAGGCUCAGGACGAGCUUCUAACCUCAGGCCAACAGGACCCCCUCCUAACACGUAUUCUCUUUGAACUCUUUUUAACGCACAGAUUAAAGGAACUGUCGGAAUUACAUUUCACUGUGAUUGUGCUUUAUAUGAUUACAUGUGACAAAUAAACUUGAUUCAUUCAUU